rnacentral:lncRNA from 1 species
GUACAUCUUCACGGACCGCAUCUGAUCUGUAUGAUGCCAUGGGUCAUCUGGAGCUGCAGGUUGCUCAGAUGUCUGAUCGCCAGACUCAGAUGUUUGAGCGCCAGACUCAGUUGGAGCAGCAGGUGGGACGACUUACAGACCAGCAGCAGACCCUGAUCGAGCAGCAGAGCCAGAUUUUGCACCUUCUUCAGCAGUCAUCUGGAGUGCCACCUCCCCAGCCUCCUCAGUGAUCUUUUUGUUUAUAUAGUUGCUCUUUCUUUUCUCUCCUCUUUUGGUAUUGUGAUAUUUUUUGUUUUUGAUGAUGUCAAAAGGGGGAGAAUGGUAUAAUGGUAUCAUAUAUAUAUUUGAUGUGGCUAUACUAGUUUAACAAUGGUAUCAUAUAUAUAUUUGAUGUGGCUAUACUAGUUUAACUCUUUUGGUUUUAUGGAUGUUGAUACAUUGUUUAACUCUUUUGGUUUUAUGGAUGUUGAUACAUUGAUAUCUAUUUGACUCAUGAUUAUUGUGCAUAACUAUAGCUCUUCUUGAGAUGCAUUUUUUGUUGGAACUCAUUCAUUCAUAUAGGAUCCAUUGCAUCUCAUUGCAUUGAGUCAAAACCUCCCUUAUGUGUCUUCUCACAUUUUAAAUAUGGCACAAAGUAUUUUUGACAGGGGGAGCACAUUAAGG